rnacentral:rRNA from 1 species
CACGCAGGCGGUCUGUUAAGUCAGAUGUGAAAUCCCCGAUCUCAACUUGGGAACUGCGUUUGAAACUGCAAGACUAGAAUAUGUCAGAGGGGGGUAGAAUUCCACGUGUAGCAGUGAAAUGCGUAGAGAUGUGGAGGAAUACCAAUGGCGAAGGCAGCCCCCUUGGAUAAUAUUGACGCUCAUGCACGAAAGCGUGGGGAGCAAACAGGAUUAGAUACCCGCGUA